AGAGUUGAUCCUGGCUCAGAUUGAACGCUGGCGGCGUGCUUAACACAUGCAAGUCGCGCGUGAAAGGACUUCGGUCCGAGUAAAGCGGCGCACGGGUGAGUAACGCGUGGAUGAUCUACCCAUGAGUUAGGAAUAACGGCUGGAAACGGUCGCUAAUACCAAAUACGCUCCGAUUUCAACUUCGGGGGAAAGGUGGCCUCUGCUUGCAAGCUACUGCUCAUGGAUGAGUCCGCGUCCCAUUAGCUAGUUGGUGGGGUAACGGCCCACCAAGGCGACGAUGGGUAGCCGGUCUGAGAGGAUGACCGGCCACACUGGGACUGGAACACGGCCCAGACUCCUACGGGAGGCAGCAGUGGGGAAUAUUGCGCAAUGGGCGAAAGCCUGACGCAGCGACGCCGCGUGAAGGGAUGAAGGUCCCCGGAUCGUAAACCUCUGUCAGGAGGGAAGAACCGCCACGGUGCUAAUCAGCCGUGGUCUGACGGUACCUCCAAAGGAAGCACCGGCUAACUCCGUGCCAGCCGCCGC
rnacentral:rRNA from 1 species